UUCCUUUUCAAAGGGGAGUAGCGUUAGGGUUCGCCCUAAAACAAAGUCGUCAUUACGUGAAUGUUAAACAUUCAUCGGCUUUGUUGACAUGAUUUCAUGUUCAGCAAGACCUUUGCCUAUACG
rnacentral:misc_RNA from 1 species